rnacentral:rRNA from 1 species
UACAGAGGUCCCAAGCGUUGUUCGGAUUCACUGGGCGUAAAGGGUGCGUAGGUGGCCAGGUAAGUCUGAUGUGAAAUCUCGGAGCUCAACUCCGAAACUGCAUUGGAUACUAUCUGGCUGGAGGGUCGGAGGGGGGACUGGAAUUCUCGGUGUAGCAGUGAAAUCCGUAGAUAUCGAGAGGAACACCAGUGGCGAAGGCGAGUCCCUGGACGACUCCUGACACUGAGGCACGAAAGCUAGGGGAGCAAACAGG